rnacentral:rRNA from 1 species
CGUACACUCCUGCGGGAGGCAGCAGUGGGGAAUAUUGCACAAUGGGCGCAAGCCUGAUGCAGCCAUGCCGCGUGUAUGAAGAAGGCCUUCGGGUUGUAAAGUACUUUCAGCGGGGAGGAAGGUGUUGAGGUUAAUAACCUCAGCAAUUGACGUUACCCGCAGAAGAAGCACCGGCUAACUCCGUGCCAGCAGCCGCGGUAAUACGGAGGGUGCAAGCGUUAAUCGGAAUUACUGGGCGUAAAGCGCACGCAGGCGGUCUGUCAAGUCGGAUGUGAAAUCCCCGGGCUCAACCUGGGAACUGCAUUCGAAACUGGCAGGCUAGAGUCUUGUAGAGGGGGGUAGAAUUCCAGGUGUAGCGGUGAAAUGCGUAGAGAUCUGGAGGAAUACCGGUGGCGAAGGCGGCCCCCUGGACAAAGACUGACGCUCAGGUGCGAAAGCGUGGGGAGCAAACAGGAUUAGAAACCCGUGUAGUCCCAUGA